GAGUCAGUUGGGAGGAAGCUGGGCUGGAAAUACAGCUGAGAGCCUCUGUUGACAGAUGGAUGCCUUCUUAAUCACAGCCUGUGACACCCACAUGACUAGGAGGAGGCAGAAAGUGAAUAGGGAGCUCUUAUUACUUUUUGAGUGUCAGCAAGAACCUGUGACUGCAUCAGCUUUAUAUCCUGGACCUCAGCCUGGAACAAAGGAGAGCUACACUUGGAUACUAAACACAAGUGGUCUGGAUAGAUUAUGCUGGGAAAAGAAGCCUGGAGCAGGCAGUACAGUGGGAGAACAAGUGAUGACUUUAGUCAGAAGUGUGCUGGAGCAGUUUGCAGAGCCUUGCAAAAUUGAUGGUGCCUAUCUAUUUCCAGCUCUAUGUUCAUCAAUGCCAGAUCGGCAGACUGAAAUCAGCCGUGAUAAAAAUGUUUACACUAUGGAAAUUGGCAAAUACUAAAAAUCAUCAGAUACUCUCUCACCCCAGACAUGAUCAAUCAUUCAAUAGUACACAACUGAUUUCAGUGGAAGAGAGUUAUGGUACAUAAAUGAUUUUUAGUUCUUCAUGUUAGAUGUCUUAAAAUUAUAAGUCUCAACUUUCAAGUACCUAUUAAUCUCAAAAAAAUUAAACCUAUAUUUUACAAGAAA
ensembl:lncRNA LINC01013 long intergenic non-protein coding RNA 1013